GGAGAUUGCACUAAAUCUAUAUAUAACUUAAGAAAAUAAAACAAUGUCUGUUCUUCAUGAAGAUGUCAAUUCUUUAGUCUGCCAGCAAUUCCAUGUGAUCUACACUUGGAGCUAAUAGGAGUUGUCCUUCACAUUUCCCCUUCUCUGGAAACAGAACUGAGCCAUUUACCCUACCAUUUUUGCUUGCAGCCCCCUUGGAGUAUCCUGGCACCCCAAGAAGGUCUCGUUCCCACCGACCCAGCAGAAAAGCUGCUGUAAGUUUUGGUCGAUGCAACUACCACUACCCAGCAACCACCACGCUCCAGGCCGCUCUCCAGACACUUGGGCCGAACCUCACGCAUGAGUGAAGCCCCACAA